GUUUGCUGUUCACAAAAACAAUCCUCUUUUUCUGAAAUAAACUACUUUCUCCCUAUUCCAUCAGAGUUCUAAACCUUGCAUGGAAACAAAAUUAAAAGAAAUUUGUCACGCGUAGAGCCUCUCCGCAGAUAAUUUGUGAAAAACAACGGGGCAAAUACCAUUGUAUUAUUCAAUUAUGUAUCAUAAUUACGUAUUAUUCAAUUAUGAAAUUAUGUUAUUUAUAAAUAACUAUUUGUUUGCUGUUCACAAAAACAAUCCUCUUUUUCUGAAAUAAACUGCUUUCUCCCUAUUCCAUCAGAGUUCUAAAAUCAGAUCAGUGUAUAUACGCCUUCUAUACUAUAGUACUGCUUGCGUGACUCAGAGCAGGGCGUCUAUAACAAUAGGCGGUGAAACGCCAAUAUGGCAAUGUGUUUGGUUGCUAAAUGUUGUAAAAUGAAGAAAAUAUAGCCCUGUGAAGUUCGAAAAUUUUGUAUGUAUUUGUAUUACGCGCGGUAAAAAUAACCACUUUCGGCUCAAAAAUGGUUAUUUUCCCCCGGGGUAAUGCAAAUAUAUAGAAAAUUUGCGAACUUCACAAGGGCUAUAUUUUCCUCAUUUUACAACAUUUCGCAACCAAACUUUGCAAUUUUACUCAUUUUAAAAUGCUCUUUCCAGCUAUUACAAUGGAUUUCGUUCUUCUUGCCUAGAUCAAAAUUUCGUCUAUAGAAUCAGGGACGGAUAUCAACAAUGCCUAUGGACGUCCGGUGAGUCCAAACCUCCUAAGGCUAAGAGGACUUGUAAACAAAAAUGAACUGACGAAAGCAAAAAAAUAUGUUCAAAAAAUGAAAAUAUUUUGUAUAAGAGAGAAACAGAGUUAUUACUCAGGCAAAAUUCUCCAAUGAUCUCAUCAUCGUCAAAAUGUGUUGAUUAUGCUAACUGUGCUACAUUUAAAAACAGGCAAAAAUUAUGCUCUUUUCAAACAUAAAUUUGAUGUACAUCAGUGUACAUAUCUUUACGCACCAGUUACAAAACGUAAACACGUAUAUUUAACAAUUAUUGGAUGAGGUUUUUGUGAUAUGCGGAAUUAUCAAGGUCGAGGUAAGGGUUAUCAGCCGAGCCGAAGGCGAGGCCGAUAACGCUUAUACCGAGACCUUGAUUUGAUAACUUUGCAUAUCGCAAAAACCGAAUUCAAUAAUUGUUUUAUUAUACAUUUGUUUGUGUUAAAUAGAUACCGCUUGCUAAUCAUCGCAGGCUCAUUUGCUGAUAACUCAGUUAUCUGCUAGCAGAUAACUGAAUUUUCUGUAGGUUGCGUGAUUGCGCGAUUUAACUGCAAGCUCUUGGCCAAUCAAAUUGCUUUUACCAACUACAAUGUAUAAUAAUAUUUAUAAAUACCGGGUGGCCCAAAAAAAAGUACUCCUGUUUGAUUCGUAAUAACUUCUGAACAAGUAAAGUUUUUAAAGAGAAAUAACUUGCAUUAAAUAGAGGAAGGACUAACUUAGAUUUUGAUAUAUUACAGUUGUAUUUAACUUAAAAAUUCACGGAUAUAUUAAUGUUAAAAAUGGGGAGCAUAUUUUGGAAUGUGUCUAAAAUUAGCGAAAAUCGGCAUAUCAAAUAUUAACUCCAGCGUUUGUUUGCUUAAUGACAUAUUAGGCUAACUUGUAUUUCAGCGAAUUAUCGUUAAGGUUUGUAAGGGAUAUGGCGUAGAUUUAGACAUCUUACAUGUAAGUCUUAGCUCAUUGUUUUCUGAAAUAUGAACAUUCGAAAUUAUGCAAGUAUUUAAUAUUAGGUCUUUGCAAACUUAAAUGUACAUGAAAGACUGACCAUGGAAGGCAGGCGCUUAAAUUUUUCGUAUUCUUAAAUAGCCUAAUUUUUUUAUGUUUUUAAUGGGUUCAAACAGACUGAGUAGAUUAUUUCUCGGUGAGAGCAGGAUGAAUAUUCUUUAUUGAAGGAAAUAAUAUUGCUUUUUGCAAAUACACAUCACCGUAUCAACGCUAC